rnacentral:rRNA from 1 species
UACGAAGGGGGCUAGCGUUGCUCGGAAUCAUUGGGCGUAAAGCGCGCGCAGGCGGCCUCGCGCGCCCGACGUGAAAGCCCCCGGCUUAACCGGGGAGAGUCGUUGGGGACGGCGGGGCUUGAGGGCGGGAGAGGUCGGUGGAAUUCCCGGUGUAGUGGUGAAAUGCGUAGAGAUCGGGAGGAACACCUGUGGCGAAGGCGGCCGACUGGGCCGACCCUGACGCUGAGGCGCGAAGGCGUGGGGAGCGAACGGG